UACGUUUUUUCCCACUCAAUUGCUUUUAUUUAAAAAAGGCGUCGAAAACCAAAAAUUAUCCCAUUUAAAAUAUAAUAUAGUCAACUUAAGCUUUCAGAAUAGGUACUAUACUUAUACGUCGUAGCUAGUUUACUAGGAAAAAUCGUGUCUACAUACUAGAACAAAGAAAAAGAAGAAAAAAAAAAUAAACAUCUUAGUAAAACCAAUAGCUCCCUCACUACGCUCGGAAUUCAAAAUUAUGUUAUCGCUUGAGUUGAGUAUAAA